rnacentral:tRNA from 1 species
UCAGAAAAUAGUCUAAGACAGGAUGAUAGCUUUGGGAGUUAUUGGUGUAAGUGUAAAUCUUACUUUUCUGA